rnacentral:rRNA from 1 species
AAAGCUCGUCGUUGGAUUUCUGUUGAGGUCGAACAGUGCCGCCCUAUGGGUGCGCAACUGGCUCGGCUUCGGCAUCUUCUUGGAGAGCGCAUCUGCACUUAACUGUGUGGAUCGUACUUCAAGUCAGUUACUUUGAGGAAUUGUGAGUGUUUCAAGCAGGCUUACGCCGUUGAAUCCGUUAGCAUGGAAUAAUAGAAUAGGACCUCGGUUCUAUUUUGUUGGUUUUGAGAGCUGGGGCAGCGAUUGAUAGGGACGGAUGGGGGCGUCCGAACUGUACUGUCAGAGGUGAAAUUCUUAGAUCGGUCAAAGGCGAACUACUGCGAACGCAUUCGCCAAGAAUGUUUUCUUUAAUCAAGAACGAAAGUUAGGGGAUCGAAGACGAUCAGAUACCGUCCUAGUCUUAACCAUAAACGUUACUGACUAGAGAUUGGAGGUUGUGAUUCACAAACUCCAUCAGCACCUCUAUGUGUAAACAAAGUCUUUGAGUUCUGGGGGGAGUAUGGUCGCAAGACUGAAACUUAAAGGAAUUGACGGAAGGGCACCACCAGGAGUGGAACCUGCGGCUUAAUUUGACUCAACACGGGGAAACUUACCAGAUCAAGACAUAGUAAGGAUUGACAGAUUGAGAGUUCUCUCUCGAUUCUAUGGGUGGUGGUGCAUGGCCGUUCUUAGUUGGUGGAGUGAUUUGUCUGGUUAAUUUCGUUAACGAACGAGACCUUAACUUGUUGAAUAGUGAAUCGUAACCUCGGUUACGUUGGAAUCUUCUUAGAGGAACUUUGUGUGAUC